CCAUUAUUGACCACAGUUAGUUCCGAAGAUGUUUUCUCCCCUUCUAGAGUUUCAAAGGUCAUGCGGACAGCAAUUCCGACAUGCUUCUGGGGAAGGAGGAGACAUGCUGAAUGCACAACCAGAUGAAAAUGCAAAUAGGAGACCGUGCAGCCUCCUCGGGACCACCACGGUCACCUUGGGAUUGCCCCACGAGGGAGGCCCUCCCAGCAGCCUGUUCCUCACCCAUCUCUGCCUGGAUGGACUGGGGCUUCCUGAUGUGCAUGACUGGUUCCAUGAGGCCACGCUGAGUUUUUGUCUUCGUCAUUACCAGACCCGUCAUGUCAUCUCCCAGGUACUCCAGUGGAC